rnacentral:rRNA from 1 species
AUUGAACGCUGGCGGCAUGCCUUACACAUGCAAGUCGAACGGCAGCACGGGUGCUUGCACCUGGUGGCGAGUGGCGAACGGGUGAGUAAUACAUCGGAACAUGUCCUGUAGUGGGGGAUAGCCCGGCGAAAGCCGGAUUAAUACCGCAUACGAUCUACGGAUGAAAGCGGGGGACCUUCGGGCCUCGCGCUAUAGGGUUGGCCGAUGGCUGAUUAGCUAGUUGGUAGGGUAAAGGCCUACCAAGGCGACGAUCAGUAGCUGGUCUGAGAGGACGACCAGCCACACUGGGACUGAGACACGGCCCAGACUCCUACGGGAGGCAGCAGUGGGGAAUUUUGGACAAUGGGCGAAAGCCUGAUCCAGCAAUGCCGCGUGUGUGAAGAAGGCCUUCGGGUUGUAAAGCACUUUUGUCCGGAAAGAAAUCCUUGGCCCUAAUACGGUCGGGGGAUGACGGUACCGGAAGAAUAAGCACCGGCUAACUACGUG